AUGGCGGGGGUUUAAUCCGGAUCGUCAACCCUGAUGCGGAGAGCAUCUCUGGAAGCCGUCACCAGCAGACUGCAGUCAGAGUUUAAAUCCGGAUUCUGUCUCCUGUCCUAAUUUAAACACACUGCAGCAAACUGUGGACAAAACCACAGUUUGCUCUAAGGUUUAAAUAUGCAGAGUGGAUUCAGGUUUAUUGGGACUCCAGGUGUGCAUAAACACAAAUAUUUCACAUUGCUUUAAAAGUUAUAGCCUAGUUCAACACUCAGGGAGCCAAUCACCAAAGUCCCCUGGCAAAGUGGGGGUGACGUCACACAUGGGGGUGUCCCCUGAAAUCCACAGAACCGCCACUGUGUGCCACUGCUUCAGAACCUGAAGAGUCCAACGCAGCCUUUGUCUGACUGCGAUCCUGAUCCCCAUGCAGCAGCAGCAGGAGCAGCAUCCCUGCUGAUAUUCUCACUCCAAAGCAGCAAAGG